rnacentral:miRNA from 1 species
UGCCAAGCCCACGUUCAAAGG